UGAGGAAUCUUGCGCAAUGGGGGAAACCCUGACGCAGCAACGCCGCGUGAGUGAGGAAGGCCCUCGGGUCGUAAAGCUCUGUCAGAUGGGAAGAAAUGGGUGGGGGCUAAUAUCGUCCAUCCUUGACGGUACCAUCAGAGGAAGCACCGGCUAACUCCGUGCCAGCAGCCGCGGUAAUACGGGGGGUGCAAGCGUUGUUCGGAAUCAUUGGGCGUAAAGCGCGCGCAGGCGGCUUGGUAAGUCAGAUGUGAAAUCCCUGGGCCUAACCCAGGAAGUGCAUUUGAUACUGCCUCGCUAGAGUACGGGAGAGGAAAGUGGAAUUCCUGGUGUAGAGGUGAAAUUCGUAGAUAUCAGGAGGAACACCGGUGGCGAAGGCGACUUUCUGGCCCGAUUCUGACGCUCAGGCGCGAAAGCGUGGGGAGCAAACAG
rnacentral:rRNA from 1 species